ensembl:lncRNA
GAGGUGGUGGUGGAGGUGGUGGUGGAGUUGGAGGUUGUGAAAUAUGGAAUAUUGAUUGAGUUAAUCAGCUGUUAAUAGAAGGAAGACGUGCACAGAAUAACUGAUUAAGAUCAAGAUAUUAUGUUGGUAAACAACACUUACAUUCUGUCCGCAUCGGCAAAUUCAAACAUGAAUACACGCAUCACGUUGACAAAUGUCCCGAUAACAGGAAGUGUGCGGGAUAAUCAUCUAAAAAUAGGCCUAGGGAUAAAUGGAAGAAACUCCUAAAAAACUAAUUUGCACACAUCAUCCAACAAAGCCAUGGAUAAUGGUUGGAGAGUUGCACGUUGCCAGGCCUGGUCCCAGUGCAUGUAUUGCUAAGCGGCGUGAUGGCUCAGUACCCAUCGAGCUGCACAAAGGGAUUAGAACCCCCAUCCCCCUUGUGUCGAUGACGGAAUAAACAUGCUGUCUGUGGUGUUUAUCCGGCGCACUAUCGUGACUAUUUCAGUGUUUCAUCAAAGACACGUUAAUUAUUUGGGAGGUGGAGAAACAUCAACAAGCAAAUCCACCCCCUCAAGGUUCUGGAUAGCUCCCCCGUGGAGGGUUAGUCAAUAGAUGCACGCAGUAAUUAAGAUAAUAACGUUAAAAAACACACAAGGAAAUAUCAUGCCAUCGCUCUCUCCCAUCUUUCCAGUCACCAACGGUCUCGUAAUUAUGAUGAUGCUUUGAUUGGCUUUAAUUAGCACCGUGAGUUAAGGGUAUGGCUAAGAGCGGUGGGAUUCAAUGGGCUUCAUAACGAUUACUGGAUCCAGGAGGCAUCUGUCUGUCUGAUGAACAACCUCAAAGCACAGCGACAUAAUUAACCGUAAACGUGACAUGAAUCAUCCGCUCGGAUCCGCUUGAAGUAAAAUUGAAAGUUUGAAACAUGGAUUGAUGAGCGGAAGAGGGCGGUAAGGGGAAAUGGAGAAUGAGAAGGAGAUACAGGCCUUCCAUAGGCGAAGGAGACGAGGAGAGGCUGGUAAAUCAAUGCAGAAGAGUUAUUGUAGGUCUAUGGAGUGGAACAGAGACCUUUCAUAUCCGAUAAGCCUGCGCUUCGGUCGUCACCACGGCAACCACGUGGUCUGGAGUCUUGAGUCUAUCGCAUGAGGAAUACAAAGUGAAUUGAUUUGAUUGAAUGUUGUCUCCGGUUAUUUCCUUAUUAAUUAUUCAGCAGCUGAAUCUGUGAGCUGAAUAUAUUUGUACGAAGAGACAUGCCUGUUGCGGGUUGAGAAAGAGGUCUUCAGGCCUCGACUGGAAGCUAUUGAGUAACUUUAGACCUUUUUUUAACCUAUUUAAUUCAUGGCAUCUUCUUGAAUAACCCUCCAUUGGAUUUCCACUUUUAAUGAAAGUGGAUAAAAUGAAGGAUGGGCUUCAGUAGUGAUCACUGCCUGUCAUGAACAGAGAAGUAAUUCUGUAUUCUGAAAUGUGAAAAGGUUCCCUGAACAAAAGCCUCACCCAACAUGGUAACAAGUUGUUUCCUGUGUGGACAGGAAAGACAUGUCACUCAACCAAAACAAUGAAGGACUGACAACAAUGAAUCAUCUUUAGAAAUCCUAAGAAAGAGGGGAAAAUAAAUAACUGCUCCAGCCCCAUCGUUCCAAAUACUUUGAAUACUAAUUAUUAAUUUCAGAUGACAAUGAAGUGCUUUGUUUUGCUGAUAAUGCGGUGGGGUGGUGGGGUGUAAUCCCGUGGUCGUGGGUGAACUAGACUCAAAGAAAAGGGAGCCUAGAUGACUUCCCUCAGAGCCUUGAACCAAAGCACUUUCAGAGAGUAGCAUUCUUACAAACGUUCUGAUAUGUUAAAUACAAAUAUUACAUUUUCUGAAUACGUGUCACUGACUCAUUGCCAGAUAGAAAUACAAACACUGACAAUUUAUUAUGACUAUUAAAGGGGAACUAUGCUACUUUUUUGGAUUAUUUUACCUUUAUAUAACAGGGUAAGAGUCAUUGUAAUGCUUCUAUAACACUUUAUGGGUCGAUUGGUCGCUAUUUCGACUCCCCCUAGCACAUCUUGGCGGAAAAAGGGAAUAUGCAAGUUUCUGCCAGCGACCCGCUGCCCACUGUCGCGGGAUUCUCGGGUCUCACGAUGCACCAAAUUGCUUUAUGGCAAUACAGACCCACAAACACGGAACCGGCUCGAUAUAAACGAUAUAAAGUGGCGAAGGGAUUUUUACAUUCAUCAUGGAUCAGCCGACUAAAAAGAGACAGAGAAACCCAAUGUCGGAGAAACAGAAGAAGAGAAAAGGGACACUGACCGGCAGAGAGGCCAGACACGAGUAAACGUUGGCCGAGCUUCUCAAGAAUAGCGUGAACUGAAAGAAAAAGACUGCAAAUCGGAUGCCAUGUUGCAACUUGCCAUGGCCGUGUUGCUCUUGAAAUUGUACGUACCCUUGGGUGAACUUUGUCCUCUUUGUAUUGUGGCUUCUUGAUGUUGAUAGUCUCUGUAAAAAUGUGUUUGCUCGACCGUUUUAUUGUGAGCCCUGUAUGUGUUCUAGCUAGCUGGGUUGUUAGCAUACUCGCUACCAAACAAGUUUGUUUUCAUGUUUUGUUUUGCUGUUCGUCUGUCUCGCCCCCUCGUCACCCAGAUACAGGCUCAAUCCCCGAAUCCAGGUUCUUAUUUAUUUAGAUCACUAGUCCACUAUUCGAAUGCUUCAGAUUUUUCUAAGAGUGCAUAGCCUAUCAUGUGAUAUGUCCGGCUUACCAUAUAAUGCAGUACCCUGCGCGAGAGCUGCUAGUUAGCACAUAUUCGUAGGUAACAGAACUGUUGCGAUACGUGAACCUCCAUUAUAGCUUUAGCCAUGUUAUUCCUUUGGUAUAACAUGGUUAUACCCAGUUCCCCGCUUGUAAACAUGUUUGUAACAAGAUUGCUUUGUAUUUUUUCUUAGUUACAAGCGUUGGCAAACAGCAUUGUAAUGAGGCUUGAGGCUUGAUGACCCAAGACGGCUUGCUUGCCUACCCCAGUUCAGCAACCACCCACAUCCAAACUUGUGUGGGUACAAGUGUCACGAGGAAAUCGAGAGAACCCUCAAAAAGAUGUUACACAGCCGUAAGGCAAAAAACAAACCAUGAAGAAGGAGUUUGUUUCACUUGCAUUUCUUUCAAUAUCCAAAAUAAAUAUUUAUUUUGUUGAAUAAGUGUGUAUUAUUGAACAAAUGAAAGAAAGAUGGUGCAAACCUCUGUUAUUUAAAAAAAUGGAAACAUUUUAAUACCAUAUACAAUAAUAUUUAUUGCAUGCAUGCAUUUACACGUAAACAUGUGUCCCUAACCUUCCAGACUCAGCAGCAUCUGCCUGUGACAACUCUCCUGCGGGGACUAGCAACAGCAUACCGUCUCGAUCUCUGAAUCCAUUUCCCUGUAAUUCCGUACACAAGUGACGUACUUCAGCAGAUACAUAAAUGUACGAUUAGUGCGCAAAUUGUUCAUGCUAUCGUUAUGUAUUAUGUUAUCCAACACUCUUACAAUGAUCCUUCUGUUCAACAACCAAAGAUAAAACUAUUCUAAUCUAGGAUAUAACCUCUCCCCGUCAACUAUAAAAAAGGAUGGGUUUAUUGUAACACAUACACCAUUUCAAAAUGUAUAACCUUGUCUACGCUUUUUUUUUCUUUUUUUUCUACCUCGGACAUGGCUCAACGCAUUCGCCGGUCUGAGUACCAAAUGUGUUCGGCUGCCAGAUCCAAGUAGGUCUAACUGCAGCCGGAGCCACUUGCCAAACACGCCCAUUGCUCUGCCAAACACGCCCAUUGCUCUGCCAAACACACCCAUUGCCCGUUCUAUGGUGGCCAUCAUGGGGGAAAACAAUAAACAGCGCCACAGCGCUCCAUUCACUUUGCACAGCGCUCCAUUCACUUUGCGUAGAAUGCAAACAAACUUAAUAAAAACGUAAUAAAACAUGCCCUUCAUAAAUACACGUUACUGUCUUUAAACAGAGCUCCAUUCACUUUGUAUAGAAUGCAAACAAACUUAAUAAAAACUUAAUAAAACAUGCCUUUCACAAAUACACGUUACUGUGUUUAAAGCCACGACUCUUGUCUGUCUAUACGAGCUGUUUGUGUUAAAAAAUAAUCCACCCAUUGACAUCUUAAAUGUCCACUUUCUGUCUCAGUGAUGGAUUAAAAACACGACUCGUUGAGACCCCUAAGUCCCUUCCCAUGAAUGGACCUGAGUCCCUGCCCCAUACCCAAAUACCUCUACUAAACAUAUAGGGGUCUCAAAGUUUUCCUCCACUUCUGUCAUGUAGGCUACUGAUCCUGGUGCCUCUCUUCUUAUCCACCGUUUCCUUCGUAAGGGAUCACAGCUUUUUCUUAGGUUUACAAACCGUUUUAACAUUUGAAUAACAUUUAUUGAGUGUGCAGCUUAACACACAACGGGCCCUAUUUAACGGUCUGAAACGCAAGUGGGAAGCGCAAAGCGCAAGUAGCUUUGUGGGCGGUUCUACGGCGCUAUCGCUAUUUUACAGGCGGAUAAAUGACGCUUGCGCCGCCGGCGCAAGUGUCAAAAGGGUUGGUCUGAAGCAGCCUAAUUACCCGUAGGUGUGGUUUGGGCGUAACGUGCAACAAACCAAUGAGAGUGCCAGCUCCCAUCCCCUUUAAGAGCCAUGAGCGCAUUUGAAUCGGACGAGUUGAUAUUUUGACAGCGCGUCUGCAGUCUCCGAUGAGACAGAUGCACAUGAAUUUCAAACUGCAAAUGGCUUAGUUUAUUGCCAAAUAAUAUGGCCUAAUUCACACAUGGAAAAAGGGGUUUUCUUCCACAACUUCAGAAAUACUGAGUCCUCAAAUAAAUUUCGGCAAAGAAAACGUAUGAUAGGCUAUUUAACAUAUGAUAUGCGGUAACUGUGGUUCUAUUUAAUGAUAUACGCAAUACAUUAUAAACAUUGUUUCUUAUGAGUAUUGUAUGCUAUCCUAAUAUGCAUGUGUCCCCGCGGUAAUAGACAUUGCCAUUGAUUGUAUUAUGCGUUACGUGUUUAGUUUGCCCAAGUGAAGGAGUUCAAGUACCUCGGGGUCUUGUUCGCGAGUGAGGGAACUAUGGAGCGUGAGAUUGGCCGGAGAAUCGGAGCAGCGGGGGCGGUAUUGCGUUCGCUUUACCGCACCGUUGUUACGAAAAGAGCUGAGCCGCAAGGCAAAGCUCUCGAUCUACCGGUCGAUCGUCGUUCCUAUCCUCACCUAUGGUCAUGAGGGUUGGGUGCAACCCGGUAUCACGCGAUUGCGUGCUCAUGCGCACGAACGUUGAUCUAUUGAAGCGUGUUCCAGAGUACGAUAGUCCAACUUUUUGCGUGCUACACAGAACGAAAUGUAAACCAAUGCUUUCUGAUGGGAGUGUUGUCAGACAAUGAACGUGCUCCACAAAACGGUACGAGAGAGAGAGAGAAAGAGAGAGAGGGAGGGACAGAGAGAGAGAGAGAGAGAGAGCGAGAGAGAGGCUUCAGAAAGGGUGUGCGCGGAAAGUACAGUGCACCCUAGUUAUGUUUAUGCCAAAACCACAAAUGCUAUAUAUAUAAUUAGGCUAUAAUUAUAUUAUUUAGCGUGUAAUGAGACAAUCUAUAGCCAAAUUGUCGAAGAUGCCCGAGAAUCUCCGGGGAUAUCAGCAUGGGAAAUCGGCGAAUCAGACCCAUGAACCUAUAAAGAAAGACGUCAUCUCAAGCGGGAGAGAACGUUUGCGGUGCUGGUUUGACUCACGUAAGUACAGUGCCGUGUUCCAAUACCGUACUCAAAACGGGCUAAUCGUGAAGUGUGGAUCGAAGGACACUCCCCGUACUCAACGGCAGCCAUCUUAGCUACGUAGCGAAAGAGGCGGAGCCAGGCUGAGCCAAAGUCGGCGCAUUUCCUUAUGGAGCUCCGUACAGAUCAUUCAUUGUUGAAAAAUGUCUGUGAUAACUAACAAAUUACAGCUUUUGGCCACCCGUUUCUACUUAAAAUUGUCUGUGAUAACUAACAAUACGACAGCUUUUGGCCACCCGUUUCUACUUUCACCUCUGAUACUGAGAAAUUGUGACAAUACACGGAUAUAUUAAAUGCAGGUGCGCUGCUCUGUAGGCAAACCGCAAAGGAAAAAAGGGUAGCUGCUUCAUCUGUUCUUUUUAGAAUUGUAUGUCUUGAUGUUUAUUUUAUCUAGCCAUCUAUUCUCUUGUUUUUGGCUAUGUGAAUGAACGUCCGCGUCGAUGCCUCGAUCGCAAGUCCAGUGUCGCGAGCGGACGUUGCCAUGACAUCUAGAAAUAAUAAUAAUAAUAAUAAUACAUUUAAUUUAGAGGCGCCUUUCAAGACACCCAAGGUCACCUAAAAAUCAUACCGUAUUUAAUGGGUUGUAGUGAGUGUAACAUAAUUCACCUACAGUAUUUUGUUAUGUGUUGUUCUUUCAAUUGUGUUAGGCAUGUCGUUUACUAUCUUGGUGGUUCAGGGAUCGCUGUCCCUUUUAAGGAUUACGAGCGUCUCAUGAAGUCAGAGCCCAUGCGGGAUUUGUUUCCCUUCAGCACGUUUUGAUUUCCUGUUUCUCUCUUACUAAAUAAACGAGUCACACAACUGUGUGCUCAACGUGCGAAAUUGUAUCUCUCACUUAUGGCAAUUUCCACAGGGUUAUCAUUAAUAUUGAUGUGUAGGGGUUGUUUAUAACUCGUGAAUAAUAUUGUUUAGACCACGGUCUGGGGGAAUACUCUGAUUCUGAUUGGCUGCAGUGCGUGCAUUAACUCCUGAUAUAGCCCUACAGACACCUGCUAAGUAGUUCCAGUCAGUGUUUAGAUUCUCUGCCCGAUAUUUCCCACCACUAUACUCGGGCCGGGCCUUUGAUCGAGCGUUUUUAUUUUUAUUUUACCAUUGGUAUAUUGGCCUAAUCUGAGGAGAAAUCUAUGCCAUAAACAGAAAUAUUAUAGGCCUUUAUUACACGGGUCUUCUCAAUGCCGUGGAACGCUCCGUUCAUGGGUAGUAGUCCGGUGACUUGUCUAUCCCAGCGUCUUCCGUUGCUCAGCGACGUCACCGUCUUUGCGGACAAAUUAUUUCUCUGCUGAUCAACACUACGAAUGGCCAAAAUACUUAUCCCCCCCCCCUUAAAUAAAUACUAUGGCAGAAUUAUUAUUAUUAUUAUUAGUAUUAUUCUCAUUCAACUUGAACAUGUGUUUUUACAGUAGAGUGGUGGAGGGAUGACGUAUGUUGGCCAACCCGGAAGUGAGCGUCGCCCUGGAUUCCCUCGACAAAAAGCCAACGGGUUUUGCCAUUGGAUUUUGGAUUAUUGCUGAAACAUUUGCAUCUUUGAAGCACCUCCUCAAAAACUGAAAAUAAAUAAAUAUAUAAAAAUAACCGUGCUCCAAAGAACGAAAUGUAAACCAAUGCAUUCUGAAUGGGAGUGUUUCUCUGAUUUUUCCAUGCUACACAGAACGAAAUGUAAACCCAUGCAAAUAAAGACUUCAUGGUCAUAAUAAUUU